CCUACGGGUGGCAGCAGUAGGGAAUUUUUCACAAUGGGCGAAAGCCUGAUGGAGCAACGCCGCGUGCAGGAUGAAGGCCUUCGGGUUGUAAACUGCUUUUAUAAGCGAGAAAUAUGAUGGUAACUUAUGAAUAAGGAUCGGCUAACUACGUGCCAGCAGCCGCGGUCAUACGUAGGAUCCGAGCAUUAUCCGGAGUGACUGGGUGUAAAGAGUUGCGUAGGUGGCAUAAUAAGUAGCUAGUGAAAUCUGGUGGCUCAACCAUUCAGACUAUUAGCUAAACUGUUAAGCUCGAGACCGUUAGGGGUAACUGGAAUUUCUAGUGUAGGGGUGAAAUCCGUAGAUAUUAGGAAGAACACCAAUAGCGUAGGCAGGUUGCUGGGACGGUUCUGACACUAAGGCACGAAAGCGUAGGGAGCAAACGGGAUUAGAUACCCCUGUAGUC
rnacentral:rRNA from 1 species